AUUGAACGCUGGCGGCAGGCCUAACACAUGCAAGUCGAGCGGAGCGGCGGACGGGUGAGUAAUGCCUAGGAAUCUGCCUGGCAGUGGGGGAUAACGUCCGGAAAAGGGCGCUAAUACCGCAUUCUAGCAGAUGAGCCUAGGUCGGAGUAGCUAGUUGGGGGGGUAAGGCCCUACCAAGGCGACGAGCCGUACCUGGUCUGAGAGGAAGAUCAGUCACACUGGACAGGAGACACGGUCCAGACUCCUACGGGAGGCAGCAGUGGGGAAUAUUGGACAAUGGGCGCAAGCCUGAUCCAGCCAUGCCGCGUGUGUGAAGAAGGUCUUCGGAUUGUAAAGCACUUUAAGUUGGGAGGCGUUACCAACAGAAUAAGCACCGGCUAACUUCGUGCCAGCAGCCGCGGUAAUAC
rnacentral:rRNA from 1 species